rnacentral:rRNA from 1 species
GAGUAACACGUGGGAACCUGCCCAAUGGUUCGGAAUAACCGCGGGAAACUGCGGCUAAUACCGGAUAAGCCCGAGGGGGAAAGAUUUAUCGCCGAUGGAGGGGCCCGCGUCCGAUUAGGUAGUUGGUGGGGUAACGGCCUACCAAGCCUGCGAUCGGUAGCUGGUCUGAGAGGAUGAUCAGCCACACUGGGACUGAGAUACGGCCCAGACUCCUACGGGAGGCAGCAGUGGGGAAUAUUGGACAAUGGGGGCAACCCUGAUCCAGCAAUGCCGCGUGAGUGAUGAAGGCCUUAGGGUUGUAAAGCUCUUUUGGCGGGGACGAUGAUGACGGUACCCGCAGAAUAAGCCCCGGCUAACUUCGUGCCAGCAGCCGCGGUAAUACGAAGGGGGCGAGCGUUGUUCGGAAUUACUGGGCGUAAAGGGCGCGUAGGCGGCGAUCCUAGUCAGAUGUGAAAGUCCUGGGCUUAACCUGGGGACUGCAUUUGAUACUGGAUUGCUUGAAUGCAGGAGAGGAUAGCGGAAUUCCCAGUGUAGAGGUGAAAUUCGUAGAUAUUGGGAAGAACACCGGUGGCGAAGGCGGCUAUCUGGACUGUGAUUGACGCUGANGCGCGAAAGCGUGGGGAGCAAACAGG